rnacentral:lncRNA from 1 species
CUGAAUUAUAUUCGAAUCUAUCAUUCUGUUACUAGCGGUUUGAAUCAAACCGAUCGACAGCCGAACACACUGUUCUACUAAUUAAGCAAAACUCAACGUUUUUCACUCAAUGGUUUAGCCUUCUUUCUAACAAAAUAAACCAAAAACACUACAAAUGUAUUAUUUCCUUGAGAAAUGUUUAUUAUUCCGAGUAGAUUUCAUGCUAGUAAUCUAUUAUUGAUCACUCAAAUCUCAAAUUAUUCCAAGUUAAUCUAUUAUGGACUGCAGGUAGCUAGUUAGCAAAAGCAUUGAGACUGGACGCAGUAGCAUACUCCCGGUGGCCCGCAAUCCAGUGCCGUAUAACAAUGUGGGGGAAUUUCCAUCGGGUUGCUUCUACCUUCAACUCCUUUGAUAUUGCUCCUCCCACCUCCGCCCAUCCCUACAUUUUGUUACGAAUGUAAGGGUCAAUAUACCGAAUCGCAAUUAAAUUAAGCUCGUGAUUAAAAGAAACAUAUACCAGUUGCAAAAACUAAGAGGACAGCCAAAAAGACCAACUUGAACCAAGCCAUGAUCUCCAUGUUUGAUAUAAGGACUGUAUGUGGGUUUGGUACCAAAUAAUCUUGGAAGUGCUUGAUGUAUCUCUG